rnacentral:tRNA from 1 species
GGAGAGGUGCCGGAGCGGCUGAACGGGCCCGACUCGAAAUCGGGAACCCUCCCAAAAGGGGGGUCGUGGGUUCGAAUCCCACCCUCUCCG